rnacentral:rRNA from 1 species
UACAGAGGUGGCAAGCGUUGUUCGGAAUUACUGGGCGUAAAGGGCGCGUAGGCGGUCCGAUAAGUCCCGUGUGAAAUCCCUCGGCUCAACUGAGGAACCGCACGGGAAACUGCCGGGCUUGAGUUCGGGAGAGGGAAGCGGAAUUCCACGUGUAGCGGUGAAAUGCGUAGAUAUCAGGAGGAAUACCAGUGGCGAAGGCGGCUUUCUGGGCCUACCCUGACGCUGAGGAGCGAAAGCGUGGGGAGCAAACCGG